UACGUAGGGGGCAAGCGUUGUCCGGAUUUAUUGGGCGUAAAGAGCGUGUAGGCGGCCAGGUAGGUCUGCUGUGAAAACUCGAGGCUUAACCUCGAGCUGUCGGCGGAAACCAUCUGGCUAGAGUCCGGAAGAGGAGAAUGGAAUUCCCGGUGUAGCGGUGAAAUGCGCAGAUAUCGGGAAGAACACCCGUGGCGAAGGCGGCUCUCUGGGGCGGUACUGACGCUGAGACGCGAAAGCGUGGGGAGCGAACAGG
rnacentral:rRNA from 1 species